GACGUAGGGCGCGAGCGUUGUCCGGAUUUAUUGGGCGUAAAGAGCUCGUAGGCGGCUUGUCGCGUCGACUGUGAAAACCCGCGGCUCAACUGCGGGCCUGCAGCCGAUACGGGCAGGCUAGAGUUCGGUAGGGGAGACUGGAAUUCCUGGUGUAGCGGUGAAAUGCGCAGAUAUCAGGAGGAACACCGGUGGCGAAGGCGACUACCUGGCCUGUUCUUGACGCUGAGGCGCGAAAGCUAGGGGAGCAAACGGG
rnacentral:rRNA from 1 species